rnacentral:rRNA from 1 species
AACGAACGCUGGCGGCAUGCCUAACACAUGCAAGUCGAACGAGACCUUCGGGUCUAGUGGCGCACGGGUGCGUAACGCGUGGGAACCUGCCCUUAGGUUCGGAAUAACUCCCCGAAAGGGGUGCUAAUACCGGAUAAUGUCUUCGGACCAAAGAUUUAUCGCCUUUGGAUGGGCCCGCGUUGGAUUAGCUAGUUGGUAGGGUAAAAGCCUACCAAGGCGACGAUCCAUAGCUGGUCUGAGAGGAUGAUCAGCCACACUGGGACUGAGACACGGCCCAGACUCCUACGGGAGGCAGCAGUGGGGAAUAUUGGACAAUGGGCGAAAGCCUGAUGCAGCAAUGCCGCGUGAGUGAUGAAGGCCUUAGGGUUGUAAAGCGCUUUUACCCGGGAUGAUAAUGACAGUACCGGGAGAAUAAGCUCCGGCUAACUCCGUG